UACGUAGGGGGCAAGCGUUGUCCGGAAUCAUUGGGCGUAAAGAGCGUGUAGGCGGUUCGGUAAGUCCGCUGUGAAAGUCAAAGGCUCAACCUUUGAAAGCCGGUGGAUACUGUGAGGCUAGAGUACGGAAGAGGCGAGUGGAAUUCCUGGUGUAGCGGUGGAAUGCGCAGAUAUCAGGAGGAACACCAAUAGCGAAGGCAGCUCGCUGGGACGUUACUGACACUGAGGCGCGAAAGCGUGGGGAGCGAACAGG
rnacentral:rRNA from 1 species